rnacentral:rRNA from 1 species
UACGUAGGGGGCGAGCGUUAUCCGGAAUUACUGGGCGUAAAGCGCGCGCAGGCGGCCUGUUAAGUCGGGUGUGAAAGGCUGCGGCUCAACCGCAGAGCGGCAUCCGAAACUGGCGGGCUUGAGUGCAGGAGAGGGAAGCGGAAUUCCCGGUGUAGCGGUGGAAUGCGUAGAGAUCGGGAGGAACACCAGUGGCGAAGGCGGCUUCCUGGCCUGUAACUGACGCUGAGGCGCGAAAGCGUGGGGAGCAAACAGG